CGGGGCGUGGACCGACGC
rnacentral:snRNA from 1 species